GACGAACGCUGGCGGCGUGCCUAAUACAUGCAAGUCGAACGAGAGCGCCCGGUGCUUGCACUGGUCAAUCUAGUGGCGAACGGGUGAGUAACACGCGGGUAACCUGCCCAUCAGAGGGGGAUAACAUCCGGAAACGGAUGCUAAAACCGCAUAGGUCUUCGAACCGCAUGGUUUGAAGAGGAAAAGAGGCGCAAGCUUCUGCUGAUGGAUGGACCCGCGGUGCAUUAGCUAGUUGGUGAGGUAACGGCUCACCAAGGCCGUGAUGCAUAGCCGACCUGAGAGGGUGAUCGGCCACAUUGGGACUGAGACACGGCCCAAACUCCUACGGGAGGCAGCAGUAGGGAAUCUUCCGCAAAGGACGCAAGUCUGACGGAGCAACGCCGCGUGAGUGAAGAAGGUGUUCGGAUCGUAAAACUCUGUUGUUAGAGAAGAACAAGUGCUAGAGUAACUGUUAGCGCCUUGACGGUAGCUAACCAGAAAGCCACGGCUAACUACGUG
rnacentral:rRNA from 1 species